rnacentral:rRNA from 1 species
GCCUACGGGGCGCAGCAGUGGGGAAUAUUGCACAAUGGGGGGAACCCUGAUGCAGCGACGCCGCGUGGGUGAAGAAGUCAUUCGUGACGUAAAGCCCUAUCAGCAGGGAAGAAAAUGACGGUACCUGACUAAGAAGCCCCGGCUAACUACGUGCCAGCAGCCGCGGUAAUACGUAGGGGGCAAGCGUUAUCCGGAUUUACUGGGUGUAAAGGGAGCGUAGACGGAAUUGCAAGUCUGAUGUGAAAAUCCGGGGCUCAACCCCGGAACUGCAUUGGAAACUGUAUUUCUAGAGUGUCGGAGAGGCA